CACGCACAAAGGCUUGGUCCUGACUUUAUUAUUAGCUUUAGCACAAUUUACACAUGCAAGUCUCCGCAGCCCUGUGAGGAUGCCCUUAAUCCCCUGCCCGGGGACGAGGAGCAGGCAUCAGGCACAUCCUAUUAGCCCAAGACGCCUUGCCAAGCCACACCCCCAAGGGAAUUCAGCAGUGAUAGAUAUUAAGCCAUAAGUGAAAACUUGACUUAGUUAGUGGUAAGAGGGCCGGUAAAACUCGUGCCAGCCACCGCGGUUAUACGAGAGGCCCUAGUUAAUAAAUACGGCGUAAAGGGUGGUUAAGGAAAGCACAUAUAAAGCCAAAGGGCCUCUUGGCCGUUAUACGCUCCUGAGGAUCCGAAGACCUAAUACGAAAGUAGCUUUAACACGCCCACCUGACCCCACGAAAACUGAGAAACAAACUGGGAUUAGAUACCCCACUAUGCUCAGUCGUAAACCUAGACGUUUAAUCACAACAGACGUCCGCCAGGGUACUACGAGCGCUAGCUUGAAACCCAAAGGACUUGGCGGUGCCUUAGACCCCCCUAGAGGAGCCUGUUCUAGAACCGAUAACCCCCGUUAAACCUCACCACCUCUAGUCAACCCCGCCUAUAUACCGCCGUCGUCAGCUUACCCUGUGAAGGACCAAUAGUAAGCAAAAUGGAUACAAUCCAAAACGUCAGGUCGAGGUGUAGCGCACGAGAUGGGAAGAAAUGGGCUACAUUUUCUAAUACAGAAUAUUACGAAUAAUAUCAUGAAAAUGAUACUUGAAGGAGGAUUUAGUAGUAAAAAGGAAAUAGAGUGUCCUUUUGAACCUGGCUCUGAGGCGCGUACACACCGCCCGUCACUCUCCCCGUAAACCACACAAAACCGUAACUCACACCAAAACAUAAAUAAGGGGAGGCAAGUCGUAACAUGGUAAGUGUACCGGAAGGUGCACUUGGAUCAA
rnacentral:ncRNA from 1 species